rnacentral:rRNA from 1 species
GACGAACGCUGGCGGCGUGCCUAAUACAUGCAAGUCGAGCGAAGUUUUUCUGGUGCUUGCACUAGAAAAACUUAGCGGCGAACGGGUGAGUUACACGUAAAGAACCUGCCUCAUAGACUGGGACAACUAUUGGAAACGAUAGCUAAUACCGGAUAACAGUAUUUCUCGCAUGAGAUAUAUUUAAAAGUUGGUUAUGCUAACACUAUGAGAUGGCUUUGCGGUGCAUUAGCUAGUUGGUGGGGUAAAGGCCCAACAAGGCGACGAUGCAUAGCCGACCUGAGAGGGUGAACGGCCACACUGGGAAUGAGACACGGCCCAGACUCCUACGGGAGGCAGCAGUAGGGAAUCUUCCGCAAUGGGCGAAAGCCCGACGGAGCAACGCCGCGUGAGUGAAGAAGGACUUCGGUUCGUAAAGCUCUGUUGUUAGGGAAGAAUGGAUAUGUAGUAACUAUACAUGUAAGAGACGGUACCUAAACAGAAAGCCACGGCUAACUACGUG